AUUGAACGCUGGCGGCAGGCCUAACACAUGCAAGUCGAACGAGUGGCGGACGGGUGAGUAAUGUCUGGGAAACUGCCUGAUGGAGGGGGAUAACUACUGGAAACGGUAGCUAAUACAGCAUACCAUCGGAUGUGCCCAGAUGGGAUUAGCUAGUAGGUAGGGUAAAGGCUUACCUAGGCGACGAUCCCUAGCUGGUCUGAGAGGAUGACCAGCCAAACUGUAACUGAGACACUGUCCAGACUCGUCCGGGAGGCAGCAGUGGGGAAUAUGGCACAAUGGGCGCAAGCCUGAGACAGCCAUGCCGCGUGUAGGACGAAGGCCUUCGGGUUGUAAAGUACUUUCAGUGUGGAGGCGUUACCCGCAGAAGACGCACCGGCUAACUCCGUGCCAGCAGCCGCGGUAAUAC
rnacentral:rRNA from 1 species